rnacentral:lncRNA from 1 species
GGGCUAGAGGGCUAAAACGAGCCCUCUGGCCAGCCUUCAGUUGGAGAUGGCCUAAAGACUCUCUCAGUGACCUAACUAUCUUUAGAGUGCCUAAUUAAUCUUAACUCAGAUCCCUUUCGUGUGGCUACAACCUUAAUGGGAUUAAUUCCACUAACCUUCUUAGUCUCUUCUAACACAUACACAAUGUUAUCAUAUGUGGAGUAAGACUAAUCAAUAGCUUCUCUACAAUUCUCUUGUUAGACAUAGUUACAUAAUCAGUCUAAACAACAUAGUUACAUAAUCAGACAAUUCUUCACCAUUUCUCAUUCUAGCAUAUUCAAAAUCACGACGGAUAUCUUGAAGUUUCACAGUCAUGACCUGUGAGUCACCUUUGUACUCCUGCUUCAAGACAUCAUAUGCUUCAUUUGCUGUCUCUUGAUUGGCGACCCUAGAAAAAAUAUCAUCGAACACAUCACCUUGAAUCAAUCGUAGUGCCUUUGAAUCUCUUGCAAUGAGAUCAUGGAUUAUAAUUUGCUUGUUCUCUGAGGCUUUUUCAUUAAUAUCCUCUGGAAGCUUGAUUGCUACAAAUUUUCACAGACUGUAGGAUUUGAAAACUAUCUUAAUCCUAAUGCACUAGAAGUCACAGUUGACUUUAGUGAAGAUCAGAGCUCGAAGCUCAGCUCCAGAUCCAACCAUUUCUUAUUUUGAUUCAAUUGAGUUCUUCGUUGAAAACCCAAAAACCAAAUCCUAGAUCCAUGCCCCUUGAUUCAAAUCAAACCAAGCUCUAAGGCCAUGUUAGUGGAUUUGAGUCUAUAUAUUUCUGUAUAUUUCAAAUUUGAGUGGUUGUUAGUGAUAAGUCGAUAUUAUACCAUUUAUUUUACACUAAUCUUAGUUAUAAUUUAUUAGUUAUUUUGGUAGAAUUGUGAUACUUUUUUAUAUAUUUCCAAUGUAGAACAUUAGACUUCCUCUGGAGCAAAACGUGAUCAAACGGAUGAAAUUUUAGAGUGAGUGAUUCUAAUUGGAGGAUGUUCGUGUGCCUUGUAAGAUGAUUGUGUCAAAAUUUUAGAUUUUUCUACCAAGCCGUUUAUCCGUGGCAAUGAAUUAAGGCCUAGCGCAACUUUCCCAGAUUGAUGUUUCUACAUGUUUUGGGUAUUUUGGAGGUCAAGAUGGCAUAUUUUAAGGAAUAUUCCUUCUGAGGAUUUGUAGGGGACGUCUUCAGCUUUAAAAAGAGACAUUUUGAGACCAAAUCGGAGUUGAUUUAGUUAGUCAAAAGACUAAUUUUCUGAGAAUUCUGAAUUUUAGUUUAAAUAGGAAAUCUUUUAUUUUCUGUUUUAUUAUUUUAUUAUGUUUCCUAGUUUUAUUCUAAGACCUUUUCUAGGAAGGAUUUUAUUUUGUAGUAGUAUAAAUAAGGCUUUUUAGCCAUUAGGGAGAGAAAAGGGGGGGGGGGAGAACGCAUUUUGGCUUUAGAGAGCUUUUGACGAUUCAAGUUUAUUUUUAAGGUGUUUUCUAUCCAUGUUUUUAAUAAUACUUUGUUUUUUGAUUGUUCAGAACUAGUUUGUUUGCUAGGGCGAGGCCACGAGCUUUAAUAGGAAUAUGUAGUUUCUUUUCAAUUUGCUUAUGAUAUUAUGCAUGCAAGUUUUGAAUUAUUAAUCACUGUGCUUUAAACUAUCUAAUUGUCUUGAUGAUUGGCCACCAUUACAAUAUUUAGAAAAGUAACUUGAUGCAAUUUUGGCAGAAGG